rnacentral:rRNA from 1 species
GACGAACGCUGGCGGCGUGCUUAACACAUGCAAGUCGAACGGUGAAGGGACUGGUUUUGCUGGUCCUGGAUGAGUGGCGAACGGGUGAGUAACACGUGAGUAACCUGCCCCCCUCUUCUGGAUAACCGCAUGAAAGUGUGGCUAAUACGGGAUAUUCUGGGUCUGUCGCAUGGUGGGCCUGGGAAAGAUUGCGCCUUUUUUGGUGUUUUUGGUGGGGGAUGGGCUCGCGGCCUAUCAGCUUGUUGGUGGGGUGAUGGCCUACCAAGGCGGUGACGGGUAGCCGGCCUGAGAGGGUGGACGGUCACACUGGGACUGAGACACGGCCCAGACUCCUACGGGAGGCAGCAGUGGGGAAUAUUGCACAAUGGGCGCAAGCCUGAUGCAGCGACGCCGCGUGAGGGAUGGAGGCCUUCGGGUUGUGAACCUCUUUCGCCAGUGAAGCAGGCCUGCCUCUUUUUGUGGGUGGGUUGACGGUAGCUGGAUAAGAAGCGCCGGCUAACUACGUG